rnacentral:rRNA from 1 species
ACGGGUGAGUAAUACUUAGGAAUAUGCCUUUGUGUGGGGGAUAACUAUUGGAAACGAUAGCUAAUACCGCAUAAUGUCUUCGGACCAAAGGGGGCUUCGGCUCCCGCGCAAAGAGUAGCCUAAGCGAGAUUAGCUUGUUGGUGAGGUAAAGGCUCACCAAGGCGACGAUCUCUAGCUGUUCUGAGAGGAAGAUCAGCCACACUGGAACUGAGACACGGUCCAGACUCCUACGGGAGGCAGCAGUGGGGAAUAUUGCACAAUGGGGGAAACCCUGAUGCAGCCAUGCCGCGUGUGUGAAGAAGGCCUUCGGGUUGUAAAGCACUUUCAGUUGUGAGGAAAGGUUGAUGGUUAAUACCCAUUAGCUGUGACGUUAGCAACAGAAGAAGGACCCGGCUAACUCCGUGCCAGCAGCCGCGGUAAUACGGAGGGUCCGAGCGUUAAUCGGAAUUACUGGGCGUAAAGCGCACGCAGCGGUUUGGUAAGCUAGAUGUGAAAGCCCUGGGCUCAACCUGGGAAUUGCAUUUAGAACUGGCAGGCUAGAGUUUUGGAGAGGGGAAGUGGAAUUCCAGGUGUAACCGGUGAAAUGCCUAGAUAUCUGGAGGAACAUCAAUGGCGAAAGCGACUUCCUUGUCA